UUUUCCCUGCCCGGUGCGUGUAUCGAGACAGUGUCCCUCGACCUAAUCCUUCAUACGGGAGCAUCAAAGCGGUUUUAAGUGCUACAAUGCCAUGCCUCCCUAACAGGAAGGCGGCGAAGCACCCGCUGCUCCCACCUGGUUCCUUCGGUAGAAGGGGCCCGUCUCUAACGGCCAUGGUGGGGUUUCU
rnacentral:other from 1 species